GUAAAAAGCUCUCUAAAAAAGAAAAAAAAGACCAAGAAAAUUACUAAAUAAAAAAAAAGAAAAAAUAAGUCAAGGGUAUGAAUGGGUAGUUCACUUAGAAAGAAAUACAAACUUCCAGUAUACAGAUAAGCACAUGUUCAAGCUCACUAUGAGUCAGAGAGCUGCAAAGUAAAACAAGAUAGCAUAUCAGGAUACCAAAGGUAGAUGGGCGGAGUGAAGUGUCAGCAGAAAAUAGAGCAAGCAAUAAGGGGAUGUACUGUCUGCAGAGAAUUUAAAAAUAAUAGGCCCAGUUGCAGUGGUUAACUAAGACGCUGUGCUCCACAGGCUGGGACAACAUGGGAGGCCCAAGUUUGCUUCCUGGUCCAACCUGAAGGCAGCUGGGCCAGCCCGUGGUGUGGUGAUUGAGGAAGCUGCAUCCCAAGUGGCUAGAGAUGUGGUUUUGAGUCCUGGAACUGGCAGCUUGAGAAACACCCCAAAUAUGUGUGUAUGUGUCCCAGAGGAGGAAGAAAUGGAGAAGAGACUAUGACACAACUAUCUCCGAUGGGGCGCUGCUUUCUCAAUUGCCCUCUCGUCGUCUCUCUCUGUUGCAAGUGCAUGCAUCCUGUGAGAAAUUUUCAAAGAAAAGUUUUGCCUCUGCCCUAAUUCAUUUGGAUGUUAAUAAACAAAAUGGUAAUAAAGAAAAUGACUGGUACUGGAUGAAAUGAUUUGAGAAUUUAUAUUCUUGGACAGGUCAACUUAGGUUGUUCUGGAAUGAAUGAAGGUUUUCACUUACUAGAAUAGGGAAAUCUGCUACUCCUCAUCAGAAAGACUUUAAACAUCUAUGUAUAUUGUAAUUUAUGUAUUUAUAAGCCAUUGCGACUCUUAGAAUUUGCCAGACAGGCUUUCUAACUAACCUGUGUUGGGAAGUUUCAAUGGUGAUUCACUAUUGAGUAACGGUUAAUAAAGAUAUGAAUUUAAUUCUUUUUAGUAGCUUUUCUGAAUUUAGGCAAAUUGCAUAACUUCUUCAAGUUUCUGUUUCCUCACUAUAAAGUAGAGUAUUGGAAGGAUUCAA